GACGAACGCUGGCGGCGUGCUUAACACAUGCAAGUCGAACGAAGAGCGAUGGAAGCUUGCUUCUAUCAAUCUUAGUGGCGAACGGGUGAGUAACGCGUAAUCAACCUGCCCUUCAGAGGGGGACAACAGUUGGAAACGACUGCUAAUACCGCAUACGAUCCAAUCUCGGCAUCGAGACUGGAUGAAAGGUGGCCUCUAUUUAUAAGCUAUCACUGAAGGAGGGGAUUGCGUCUGAUUAGCUAGUUGGAGGGGUAACGGCCCACCAAGGCGAUGAUCAGUAGCCGGUCUGAGAGGAUGAACGGCCACAUUGGGACUGAGACACGGCCCAGACUCCUACGGGAGGCAGCAGUGGGGAAUCUUCCGCAAUGGACGAAAGUCUGACGGAGCAACGCCGCGUGAGUGAUGACGGCCUUCGGGUUGUAAAGCUCUGUUAAUCGGGACGAAUGGUUCUUGUGCAAAUAGUGCGAG
rnacentral:rRNA from 1 species